rnacentral:rRNA from 1 species
AGAUUGAACGCUGGCGGCAUGCCUUACACAUGCAAGUCGAACGGCAGCGCGGGGCAACCUGGCGGCGAGUGGCGAACGGGUGAGUAAUAUAUCGGAACGUACCCUGGAGUGGGGGAUAACGUAGCGAAAGUUACGCUAAUACCGCAUACGAUCUAAGGAUGAAAGUGGGGGAUUCGCAAGAACCUCAUGCUCCUGGAGCGGCCGAUAUCUGAUUAGCUAGUUGGUGGGUAAAGGCCUACCAAGGCAUCGAUCAGUAGCUGGUCUGAGAGGACGACCAGCCACACUGGAACUGAGACACGGU